GCUUGCAAUAGCUUAAAUAGAGCGUGACGUUGAAGCUGUUAAGGUAAUUGUUGAAAAUUUUCAAGCA
rnacentral:tRNA from 1 species